rnacentral:rRNA from 1 species
UGUUCGGUAUUGCAUGCCUGGUGCU